rnacentral:lncRNA from 1 species
GCGUGUGUCGAAAUAGUGCGCUUCUUCUAAUAUACAUGUAUCUUCCGCCAGGCAAAUCCAAAUAUAGCAAGACAUCCGAACCGGGAAUCGAUAAAAAUUCAGAUCAGUCGGUGACACUGGUAUCUAAAGAUAUUAGGCCACGUAACAAGAAACAUCGACAAAUCGUAACGGUCAUCAAAUUCGUGAUGGUCGGAGUAGUUUUUUUUUAGAGCCGUGGUGUAGUGGUUAGUGCAUCGGACUAC